UACGUAGGGUGCGAGCGUUUGUCCGGAAUUAUUGGGCGUAAAGAGCUUGUAGGCGGUUUGUCGCGUCUGCUGUGAAAUCUCAAGGCUCAACCUUGAGCUUGCAGUGGGUACGGGCAGACUAGAGUGUGGUAGGGGAGACUGGAAUUCCUGGUGUAGCGGUGAAAUGCGCAGAUAUCAGGAGGAACACCGAUGGCGAAGGCAGGUCUCUGGGCAUUAACUGACGCUGAGGAGCGAAAGCAUGGGGAGCGAACAGG
rnacentral:rRNA from 1 species